GUUGGGGCACACCGACGACGAUGAAAUCCAGGAGGAGCAGAGUCAUCGGCGCCGCAAAUGGAGUCUUGAGAUGUUAGAAAACGAUCCAACUGUCCAAUCUGAAACACUCGUCGAUAUCAAAUGGAAAGAAGUCAUUCCGGAAGAUCUGCUUCGUCGCCUUCGACAGCUGACGAUUUCUCACUGUCGUCUCGUCGGUCCUUCGACUUACAUCGUCCAAGAUUCCGAAGCUAAGCGGCUGCACCAAUAUGAAACAAGUGAUCCUCGAGGCACAAGCGGAGGUGGCCUCUGCUUUCACUGCUCUUGUGAAUUUGAAAUGCUUUUAUGAAUUUUGGAUCAUCUCUUUUCUGGUAUGUUGUCACUCCUUCCUCCUUAGCUGUGAUGGAGCAAAGUGACAGGAGUAGGGAUCAUUUUUCCGAGUUCCUACUAGUGAGAGAAAGUAAUUUUAGUUCCUGUGAACUACUGGCAGAAAGAGCUAAACUAACUGAUGUAUAAUAUAGUGGACAGUCUUUAAUUAUGAACUAUGGGUAAUAGAAAAUUCUUAAUCCAGCCCGAAUGCAGAUGCACCUAAACAGCUUGGAGAAGGGAAAGAAUACAUUACAUCAAGUUGAAACGAGCAUCUUCUGUCCUUCAAAAUCAUUUGUAUUGCUCGUUGGAUUUAGCCGUGGUUGCAAGCAGUACUAAAAACUAAUCUUAGAUCUGGAAAGAACUGCUCGCACCAUCACUGUAUCAUCAUCAUCAUCUUUCAGAUAUAUUGAGGGAACUGUCGUCCAUCUUCCACAUGAACUGCUCCGAGAGACUUCUUCCGGACUUCGAGGAUAUGACCGAAUCCCACUGGCUUCAACAUGACAUGAGCAUUUUCCCGAGCAGCAAGUAAGUAGUAAUUUUCGUGGUGCUCAGCCACCCAGGAACUCGAGGAAGAAGACGAUAAUGGCAGAGAAUAGGAGCAACAAGAC